rnacentral:rRNA from 1 species
UGUGUAGGUGGACCUGUAAGUACCUUGUGAAAUCCCACGGCUUAACCGUGGAACUGCUCGGUAUACUGCGGGUCUUGAGCUGCCUAGGGGCGAGUGGAACAAAUGGUGGAGCGGUGAAAUGCGUAGAUAUCAUUUGGAACGCCAAUGGUGAAAACAACUCGCUGGGGGCAUGCUGACACUGAGACACGAAAGCCAGGGGAGCAAACGGGAUUAGAUACCCCGGUAGUCCUGGCUGUAAACGAUGUCGACUAGAUCGCAGUAGCUCUGACGCUAUUGCGGUCGAAGCAAAAGUGCUAAGUCGACCGCCUGGGAAGUACGGUCGCAAGGCUAAA